AGAAGUUUAGGUUAAGAAGACCAAGGGCCUUCAAAGCCCUAAGUAAGUGUCAUCCACUUAACUCCUG
rnacentral:tRNA from 1 species